CCUACGGGCGGCUGCAGUGAGGAAUAUUGGUCAAUGGACGAGAGUCUGAACCAGCCAAGUAGCGUGAAGGAUGACUGCCCUAUGGGUUGUAAACUUCUUUUAUAUGGGAAUAAAAUGUUCCACGUGUGGGAUUUUGUAUGUACCAUAUGAAUAAGGAUCGGCUAACUCCGUGCCAGCAGCCGCGGUAAUACGGAGGAUCCGAGCGUUAUCCGGAUUUAUUGGGUUUAAAGGGAGCGUAGGUGGAUUGUUAAGUCAGUUGUGGAAGUUUGCGGCUCAACCGUAAAAGUGCAGUUGAAACUGGGAGGCGGGAGGACAGUAGAGGUGGGCGGAAGUGGUGGGGUAGCGGUGAAAUGCGUAGAGAGCAGGAGGAA
rnacentral:rRNA from 1 species